rnacentral:rRNA from 1 species
GAAUUUUCCGCAAUGGGCGAAAGUCUGACGCAGCGACGCCGCGUGAGCGAUGAAGGCCUUCGGGUCGUAAAGCUCUGUGGGGAGAGACGAAUAAGGUGUAGCUAAUACCUACAUCGAUGACGGUAUCUCCUUAGCAAGCACCGGCUAACUCUGUGCCAGCAGCCGCGGUAAGACAGAGGGUGCAAACGUUGUUCGGAAUUACUGGGCGUAAAGCGCGCGUAGGCAGCAGCGUGUGUCGGGCGUGAAAUCCCAUGGCUCAACCAUGGAAGUGCACUCGAAACUGCGCAGCUAGAGUCUCGGAGAGGAAGGCGGAAUGCUUGGUGUAGAGGUGAAAUUCGUAGAUAUCAAGCGGAACACCGGUGGCGAAGGCGGCCUUCUGGACGAUGACUGACGCUGAAGCGCGAAAGCGUGGGGAGCAAACAGG